CAACUAUCUGGAUCUUACAAUUACAGCUGCAAUGAAGGAAUAUAAUGAAGUCAAACCUGCUAGGACAGAGCUAUUCCGGAGUCCACUUGUUUCAUUCUUGUAUGAACGAGGGUGGCGUCAAAAUUUUAAUCAAAGUGGCUUCCCUGGUCCUGAUGAAGAGUUCAAAAUGGCUCAGGAGUACUUCAAACCAGCAGAAGGUGGUCUCCUAGUUGAUGUUAGCUGUGGCAGCGGAUUGUUUUUC
rnacentral:misc_RNA from 1 species